GUACUGUUGUGUGGAGUCAUGAGGCUGUCCUGCUCCUAAUUAGUUUGUAUGCUGAGCAUAAAAGUAAGUUCAGCAAUAGUAUUUACAAACGAAAGGAUUUUGGAUUAACAUUGCAGCUGGUAUAGCCAAAAAAACACAUCAUUUUCAGCUGCACCACUGUGACAGCAAGUGGCGUGCCUUGAAACACAAGCACAAGGUUAUAACUGAUGUUAACCGUAAAAGUGGGCGUGGACGUCAAUCUUGGCAAUACUUUGAUACCAUGAAUGAGGUUUUAGCAAGUGACUGCAGUAAGACCUGUAAGAGUGAUUGGCUCUGCAGAAAAUGUUGGAGAAACAAAGCAGACAGUGUAAGUAAGCAAAAGUAAGCCACCACUGCAACCAACUUCAUUGCGGGUAAGAACGCCGUAGCCGUCAUUAAAGACCAGCAUCACCUCCAACCCCAGCAAGGUCACUGACAGCAUCACCCUAACCAUCAGAUAGUGGAGUUGUAGAGACAUCUAUAAGGAAGAGGAGUGGCGAACUACCAGUGUGGUUUCUUGUUCAUAUACUGAACAGGCCAGUAUGGCGUAUGGAGGCUCCAGAGGAGAGCAAUAGGCAGAUGAUUGUUAUUGCUAGUGAAAAAAUCUAUCCUGAAAGCACUGGCAAAAAGUCUUUCAAAACAGUGAACAAGAAAGUUUUUUGUACAAGAUGUUUACCUAGAACUAUAAAGACUUUGUUGCACAAGUUAAAUAAUACAUGCUGCAACAUAGCAGAUUUUAUGCCCCAAAAGGGCGGCAUAUUAAAAUCGCACCGUCUGUCCGUCCCCAUUUCAUUCGUGUCAGGACUGUAACUUUGUCAUACAUUGAGGGAUUUUGAAAUAACUUGGCACAUAUGUUAACCACCAGAAGACGAUGUGUCGCGUUCAGUAAUCACGUACCCACCUCGAAGGUCAAGGUCACACUAACACUGGUGUUUCACUUUAUCACAAUUAGAGUUUACAGGUACACACAUUUGUGUCCGGACUAUAACUUUGUCGUGCAUUGAAGGAUUUUAGAAUAACUUGGCAUAAAUGUCUACCACAUCAAGAUGAUGUGUCGCAUCCAAUAACCAUGUCCCUAUCUCAAAGGUCAAGGUCAUUCUACCAUUUUGUUUUGUUUCAUUUUAUCACAAUUAGAGUUUAUAGGUACACACAAUCGUGUCUGAACUGUAACUUUGUCAUGCAUUGAAGGAUUUUAAUAUAACUAGGCAUAUAUGUCUACCACAUAGGGACGACAUCUUAAAACCCAUGACCCUACCUUCAAGGUCAAGGUCACACUUAUAGUUUGACAUUACUCAUUCUUUCGAGAAGAGUGUGAAGUAACUCGUGUCUGUACAGUAACUUUGUCGCGCAUGGAAACAUUUUAAAAUAAAAUGGCACAAAUGUCUACCACAUCAAGACAAUGUGUCACGGCUAAGGCUCAUGUCUGUCUGUUUGUCUGUGUGUCCCCACUUACACAACAAUCAUGUCCAGACUGUAACUUUGUCAUGCAGUGAGGGAUUUUGAAAUAACUUUGCACAAAUUUCUAUCUCAUUCUGUCUUGUCCAGGAAACAAGGUCAAGGUCACACUUAUAUUUCACAAUUAG